UGUCCAAUGCGGGAAUCGAACCCGGGUCGUAGCGGUCGAAAACCAACGGUUUAGACCAUCCUUCCACCAACCCCUGGAC
rnacentral:tRNA from 1 species